GCCCAGUGGUCUAAUGGUAAGACACCGUACCGCUAUUAUGGCGAUACGGAUUCGAGCCCUGGCUGGAGCA